AAUGGAGCGGCCAAUGCAAACACGGCAUGCAGUACGUGCGAUGCGUAUGGCGUAUCGAACCAGAGCCUGGAAAUCAAGUUGUAUGAGUCACACACCACACGGAGUCGAAGUAGGAGACGACUGACAAGGAAGAUGCGCUAUGAUCGAUCUCCGGCUUAAACCAUCCAUCCGAUCGACCAUGCAUUAAGUUAUUCUUUCCUUCACGGCGAAGGAAAAUGCGAGCGGGUGGUGGCUCAGCCGGUCCGCCCGGGCGCUUUCCCUACGUACCUCCAACGCCGACGCGGUUCUUCCGACGACCGAAGUCUUCGUUCGCGUUACAGGUAGGUGAGAUGGAGCCUGCAGUGUGGCUGUGGUGCUGGUGCUGGUGGAGGCGCGGUGUUGCCGACUCGCGACGGGAUAGAGUUGUCAAGCCGCGUGGCUUCUUUUUCUCUGCGACUUCCGGGAAACUCUACAGCGAGACGGCGGAGCGGGGAAUAAUGCCAUGUCACUGAUAACGCGUUCGCCGCGCGGCAGCCUCGAAGGUUCUUAGCACCAUAUCCGCAGUGGUGCGAAUGCCAUGGAGCAUCUGGCGAAAGUCGCAGCGCUGCGGUGUUUUGGCGAGGAACGGCUCGGCGUGAGAUUUGAACAGGAGCGCGGCCACUGCAGGCGCAGCCAAUGACCGCGUCUGAAAUCCUAGACCCACAAUUCGCAAAGGCAUGUGAGAUGGAGCCUGCAGUGUGGCUGUGGUGCUGGUGCUGGUGCUGGUGGAGGCGGGGUGUCGCCGACUCGCGACGGGAUAGAGUUGUCGAGCCGCGUGGCUUCUUUUUCUCUGCGACUUCCGGGAAACUCUACAGCGCGCGAGACGGCGGAGCGGGGAAUGACAUGUCACUGAUAACGCGUUCGCCGCGCGGCAGCCUCGAAGGUUCUCAGCACCAUAUCCGCAGUGGUGCGAAUGCCAUGGAGCAUCUGGCGAAAGUUGCAGCGCUGCGGUGUUUUGGCGAGGAACGGCUCGGCGUGAGAUUUGAACGGGAGCACGGCCACUGCACGUCUGAAAUCCUAGUCCCACAAUUCGCAAAGGCAUGUUCACUGUCUACGAGCUUUGUUUAGAUAUCGUAUUUGAUUUGUUGAGAUUGUAUAUUUGAAUUGUUGCGUUUUAGAGAAACAUAUAAGAAAAAAAUAAAACAUGUACUAGUGGGUCUUAUUUUGGUGUAACCUGUGUGGAUUGGCUGAAACAGCAGACCAUAUUAUGUUUCA